GGACAUUGGCAACUGAUCGCGACCCGCGUGAGGGAUGACGGCCUUCGGGUUGUAAACCUCUUUCAGUAGGGAAGAAGCGUAAGUGACGGUACCUGCAGAAGAAGCGCCGGCUAACUACGUGCCAGCAGCCACAGUAAUACG
rnacentral:rRNA from 1 species